rnacentral:lncRNA from 1 species
AUACUGAAACUGGUAUCUAAGAGGCAAUUAGUAAAUGUUAGUUACCUAUUUUUCCCCUCAUGCAGAUAUCAGAGAGACUUCUCUACUGCUUGGGACGCUUGUUCAGAGUACAAUUUCCAUAGCAGCAAGAAAAGGAGUUUUUGUUUGUGGAUACUUUAAGGAAGAAGCCAAUAGAGAAACAGAAGGAAACAUACAAGCAUAUAACAAGAAACAGGAAACAGGAAGCACAAUAACCGUCUCUAACCAUUUACAACAGCCUGGGCAGGAAUCUCCACUGUCUAUAAGAAUGAUGAAAUACCUCCAACCUCGCCCUCCCGCCACCUAA